CGAACGCUGGCGGCGUGCUUAACACAUGCAAGUCGAACGGAAAGGCCCUGCUUUUGUGGGGUGCUCGAGUGGCGAACGGGUGAGUAACACGUGAGUAACCUGCCCUUGACUUUGGGAUAACUUCAGGAAACUGGGGCUAAUACCGGAUAGGAGCUCCUGCUGCAUGGUGGGGGUUGGAAAGUUUCGGCGGUUGGGGAUGGACUCGCGGCUUAUCAGCUUGUUGGUGGGGUAGUGGCUUACCAAGGCUUUGACGGGUAGCCGGCCUGAGAGGGUGACCGGCCACAUUGGGACUGAGAUACGGCCCAGACUCCUACGGGAGGCAGCAGUGGGGAAUAUUGCACAAUGGGCGGAAGCCUGAUGCAGCAACGCCGCGUGCGGGAUGACGGCCUUCGGGUUGUAAACCGCUUUCGCCUGUGACGAAGCGUGAGUGACGGUAAUGGGUAAAGAAGCACCGGCUAACUACGUGCCAGCAGCCGCGGUGAUACGUAGGGUGCGAGCGUUGUCCGGAUUUAUUGGGCGUAAAGGGCUCGUAGGUGGUUGAUCGCGUCGGAAGUGUAAUCUUGGGGCUUAACCCUGAGCGUGCUUUCGAUACGGGUUGACUUGAGGAAGGUAGGGGAGAAUGGAAUUCCUGGUGGAGCGGUGGAAUGCGCAGAUAUCAGGAGGAACACCAGUGGCGAAGGCGGUUCUCUGGGCCUUUCCUGACGCUGAGGAGCGAAAGCGUGGGGAGCGAACAGGCUUAGAUACCCUGGUAGUCCACGCUGUAAACGGUGGGUACUAGGUGUGGGGUCCAUUCCACGGGUUCCGUGCCGUAGCUAACGCUUUAAGUACCCCGCCUGGGGAGUACGGCCGCAAGGCUAAAACUCAAAGGAAUUGACGGGGCCCCGCACAAGCGGCGGAGCAUGCGGAUUAAUUCGAUGCAACGCGUAGAACCUUACCUGGGUUUGACAUGGAUCGGGAGUGCUCAGAGAUGGGUGUGCCUCUUUUGGGGUCGGUUCACAGGUGGUGCAUGGCUGUCGUCAGCUCGUGUCGUGAGAUGUUGGGUUAAGUCCCGCAACGAGCGCAACCCUUGUUCACUGUUGCCAGCACGUUAUGGUGGGGACUCAGUGGAGACCGCCGGGGUCAACUCGGAGGAAGGUGGGGAUGACGUCAAGUCAUCAUGCCCCUUAUGUCCAGGGCUUCACGCAUGCUACAAUGGCUGGUACAGAGAGUGGCGAGCCUGUGAGGGUGAGCGAAUCUCGGAAAGCCGGUCUCAGUUCGGAUUGGGGUCUGCAACUCGACCUCAUGAAGUCGGAGUCGCUAGUAAUCGCAGAUCAGCAACGCUGCGGUGAAUACGUUCCCGGGGCUUGUACACACCGCCCGUCAAGUCAUGAAAGUUGGUAACACCCGAAGCCGGUGGCCUAACCGUUGUGGGGGAGCCGUCGAAGGUGGGACUGGU
rnacentral:rRNA from 1 species